rnacentral:tRNA from 1 species
AGUAGCUCAGUUGGUUGCAGCGCUUGAUUGAUAAUCGAUUUGUCGCAGGUUCAAGUC